UUUGUCUUAGUUUUAAAAAAAAUGUAAGCUUGUCAAGCUUUAGAUGCAACAAUAAUAUUGCAGUCAAAU
rnacentral:tRNA from 1 species